rnacentral:rRNA from 1 species
UACGUAGGUGGCAAGCGUUGUCCGGAAUUAUUGGGCGUAAAGCGCGCGCAGGCGGCCUCUUAAGUCUGAUGUGAAAGCCCCCGGCUCAACCGGGGAGGGCCAUUGGAAACUGGGAGGCUUGAGUAUAGGAGAGAAGAGUGGAAUUCCACGUGUAGCGGUGAAAUGCGUAGAGAUGUGGAGGAACACCAGUGGCGAAGGCGACUCUUUGGCCUAUAACUGACGCUUGAGGCGCGAAAGCGUGGGGAGCAAACAGG